rnacentral:rRNA from 1 species
CUACGGAGGCUGCAAGCGUUAUCCGGAUUUAUUGGGUUUAAAGGGUGCGUAGGCGGAUGAUUAAGCGUGAGGUGAAAUGCCACUGCUCAACAGUGGAACUGCCUCGCGAACUGGUUGUCUUGAAUGCUCCUGCCGUGGGCGGAAUGUGUGGUGUAGCGGUGAAAUGCAUAGAGAUCACACAGAACACCGAUUGCGAAGGCAUCUCACGAAGGGGUGAUUGACGCUGAGGCACGAAAGCGUGGGGAUCAAACAGGAUUAGAUACCCUGGUAGUCCACGCAGUAAACGAUGAUAACUAACCGCUGGGUCGUAGUGAUUCAGUGGCCAAGCGAAAGCGAUAAGUUAUCCACCUGGGGAGUACGACCGCAAGGUUGAAACUCAAAGGAAUUGACGGGG